rnacentral:tRNA from 1 species
UGGGAUAUAGCCAAGGGGUAAGGCAACGGACUUUGACUCCGUCAUUCCGCUGGUUCGAAUCCAGCUAUCCCAACCA